ensembl:lncRNA novel transcript
CCCGGCAUGCCUUGCGCGCCGCGGGCCCAGAGACGUGAGGCUGUCGGCGUCCUGGUGGCCCCGCCUCGUGUCCCCCCCCGGACCCCACGCCGCGGGAGCUUGGGGGUUGCGGUCUUCUCUUCCUCCGACCUCACCUUCGAUGCGGAAGCGCAGGGGCAGGUGCGCCGCCCUCGGCCCGCGCAGGCGGUGGGCCCGUCUGGGGCAAGGCGCCCGGAAGCGCCUGGUUGGUUCAGAAAAUCGGACCGCAGCGGGAGGGCGGGCACCGGCGCGUGGUCUCAGUGGCCCCAGGCGAACCCUGAUGAGCAGCAGCCGCAAGUGGCUUACUAAAGGAGCCACUUUCUACGUUUGUCUGGAAUUUACGUGAAUUAAGCUGGCGGGCGGGCGGCCAGGCCUGUAGUCUCAGCACUUUGGGAGGCUCAGCACUUCGGGAGGCUGUGGCGGGCGGAUCACCUGAGCCUGGGAGUUGGAGACCAGCCUGCGCAACGUAGCAAGACCCUAUCUCUAAAACAGAUUCAUUAAUACUUAGCCAGGCGCGGUGGCUGAGGUCCCAGCUACUCGGCAGGCCCAGGCUGGCCUGAGCCAGACCGCUCUGGACUGUUUUAAUUUUUUCAGCCUUAAUACCUGCCAGAAUUUUUUUUUUACUAUGUAUCUUUGUCCUUACGUAUAUAAAUUUUAUAUACAAUUGAGAUUAUCCUGUAUUUGCUUUUCCCCCCUCACUUUUAUAUGGUGACUUUUCUCAUGUUAGGCUGAAUACUAACAUUUUGGAAACUGUCGGCCUGAAAACGAGCGGAGACACAGUUUCUCUAAGUAGAGAGUUUAUUUGGGCCACACUUGAGCACAAAUUCAAGGCGCCCUGAAUGUGUACUCCGAUUAGCAGUUAACAGUGGAUUUUAAAGGCAAAAAAGGGGGCCAGGGAGUGGACUAAUAGGAACUUGUUUGUGAGGAAUUCUCACUGGUUUACAGAAAUAACAUUGAUUAGUGACUGACUAUAUGUUGUUCAGCUAUUGAGUGUGGGUAUAGUGUCCAUUGUGGCGUCAUUAGGUUAAUUUAUAGCUGUUUGUGGCGCUGUUGCCACCAGUAGCAGUUUAAAGAGGUGAACACAGGUCAAGGGGUAGUAGGGCGCGAUUGUCGCCUCAUUUGAAUGUCUCUCUCGGCCUGAUAAUUAAAAGAACUCGCGUUCCUCAGAUAAAAAUUCUCUUUUCUCAAAACCAUUUAAAUGUGGUAAUUAGAAUGGCCCAGAAGGGGCACAGUGCCUUUUAGCCCUCGCCAUUACUUGCUCUUAGGAGUGCAUUUUUUGUAGCUGUGGGUUUUUGACUAUCUCUGCUGCUUUCUCCAGCCCCUACCCUCGUGACUACAAGGGAAAACGUGCGGUGCUCACGAGAGAGCCUUUAUGGGAUUUUUAAAAAAUGGGGAUUGUGGGAAAAUGGCUCCAGCAGUCACAGUUUUUCAGUUUCUCACAAUCCCAUAAAAACAGAGCAACCAGGUAACAAAACUAAAGCAUGGGCAACAUUUACAGACCACUGGAUGGUGAAGAAUUCCCAUGAACCCCUGGUUCACACUGUAAGGACACACUACUCAGCAUGGGCAACAUUUACAGACUACUGGAUGGUGAAGAAUUCCCAUGAACCCCUGGUUCACACUGUAAGGACAGACUACUCAGCAUGGGCAACAUUUACAGACCACUGGAUGAUGAAGAAUUCCCAUGAACUCCUGGUUCCAACUGUAAGGACACACUACUCAGCUGUAGCCUGAAGCCGCCUCCUUACAUACUGUAAGUUUAGCCUAUAGGUUUCUCCAUACGUAGUGAACAGUCAUCUAAUUGGAUGUGUGGACACUGUAACCUACUCUUGAAUCAGUCACAGGCAGCAGCACUUCAAACUCUGUUUCAAUAAGCCAGACACGAGCUGUAGCCACCCUGCUGUUUGCAGGCCUCACCUCUGCCUUCUGUGCCUCACUCCCUUUUCUGUCCGUAAGUCUUUGGCCACACAGUGGCACUGGAGUCUCUCUGAGCCUAUUCUGGUUUGAGGGGUUCCCUGAUUCCUGAAUCAUUCUUUGCUCAAUUAAACUCUGUAAAAUUUAA